rnacentral:lncRNA from 1 species
CCAGAGUGGGGGCCUUGAAUGCCAGGCUAAGGAGCCUGGCUCUGUCUUGGGGAAAGGGCGGGCCCUUUGAGGUUGAAUUCCUGACACUUGGCACCCAGGACCCGCAGAGGGUGCUGGGGAACCGCAUACAGAUCCUGAAUCAAGUUCAUAGCAGGGCAUCACUUUACAGAAUCUGGAGCGAGCCAGGCAGGUAGACUUGUUUUUGUUUUUUCUUUUUUGAGACAGGGUCUCAAUCUGUUGACCAGACUGGAGUGCGGUGGUGCGAUCACAGCUCACUGCAGCCUCGACUUCCUGGGCUGAAGCGAUCCUCCCACCUCAGCCUCCCUAGUAGCUGAGACUACAGGCUGGAGUGGAAUGGCGCAAUCUCGGCCCAUUGCAACCUCUGCCUCCUGGGUUCAAGUGAUUCUCGUGCCUCAGCCUCCGGAGUAACUAGGAUUACAGGCACGCACCAACAUGUCCGGCUAAUUUUUUAUUUUUAGUAGAGACAGGGUUUCACCAUGUUGGCCAGGCUGGUCUCGAACUCCUGACCUCAAGUGAUCUGCCCGCUUUGGCCUCCCAAAGAACUGGGAUUACAGGCGUGAGCCACCAGCCCGGCCUGCCUGGCUAAUUUUAAAAAUUUUUAGUAGAGACGGGAUCUCGCUCUGUUGCCCAGGAUGGUCUUGAACUCCUGAGCUCAAGCGAUCCUCCUGCUUCGGCCUCCCAAAGUGCUGGGAUUACAGGUGUGAGCCACUGCGCACAGCCAAUUAGACAUUCUUAUCCCCAUUGAACAGAUAAGAAAACUGAGGCCAUCUCAAGCUGGCCCUAAUCUAGCACACUGGCCUCCUCUCCCCUCUCCCACCGUGCAGCACCCCCUGUGGACACCACCUCUGUGUCCCCUGCCUUGCUCAGUGUUUUCUCCACUUGGAAUGUCACUCCACUGCCGAGGCUGUGUUACUUUGCAGAGAGCCACCCUCCCUCUCUCUUCAGUGGCUGCCCUGCCCUGGGUUCCCCCAGCAGGCAGUAAGCUUUAGGGGCACGGGGCCCCACUGGAUUCCUCCGUGGACACUUCCCAGUGUCAGAGCACAUGGGGUGAAUUGUGACCAAACCACUUGUCCCAAGCCCCAGCCCUGGUAGUUUCUCUGCAAUCCCCGGCCAGUGAGGCUGCCUGUGGGAAAGAGUCCACCACGCUCUCUCACACCCUCUUCUCUGUGCUGCAGCCCCUCCCACCCAGAACAUGCCUUUUCCUCCUGCAGCCACCUGGCUGACUCAUAUUCUUCAGCUCCCAGCUUAGGCAUUGCCUCCUCUAGGAUGCCUUCCCUCCCCUCCGGCCUGUAUCAGGUGUCCCACUUCUGCCCCUUCCAUUUAUUCAGUCAAUCCAC